GACGAACGCUGGCGGCGCGCCUAACACAUGCAAGUCGAACGGAGAUAAGGAGGAGCUUGCUCCACCUUAUCUGAGUGGCGGACGGGUGAGUAACGCGUGAGUAACCUGCCUUAAAGAGGGGGAUAACGUCUGGAAACGGACGCUAAUACCGCAUAAGCGCACAGCAUCGCAUGAUGCAGUGUGAAAACUCCGGUGGUAUGAGAUGGACCCGCGUCUGAUUAGCUAGUUGGUGGGGUAACGGCUCACUAAGGCGACGAUCAGUAGCCGACCUGAGAGGGUGACCGGCCACAUUGGGACUGAGACACGGCCCAA
rnacentral:rRNA from 1 species